ensembl:misc_RNA 7SK 7SK RNA
UGAUGGGAGGGUGUCUGACAAGUCACUCCCUGAUGGCAAGGGUUGAUUUGACUAGAUAAGGUGAGUUGUUCCUUUCCUCCCUUACCAAUCCAUGUGUGUCCUUCCUGAAGCUGCUAGGAGAAAUACCUCACUCAAAUAGAACCUAAAUACAGAUAUUUUGGUCUUCAGUCUUCAGUCAAGGGUAUGCAAAUAGCUGUGAUCUCCUGCUAGAGCCGCCAGACUCACAAGGCUUAGUAUCUAUAUGACAAAUGAAAGAAAAGUUGUGAAAUUGGUAACUACUAUGGAUGAAGAGUAUCAAGGUCUGUUUCUUAAUUU